rnacentral:rRNA from 1 species
GAUGAACGCUGGCGGCGUGCCUAAUACAUGCAAGUCGAGCGAACAGACGAGGAGCUUGCUCCUCUGACGUUAGCGGCGGACGGGUGAGUAACACGUGGAUAACCUACCUAUAAGACUGGGAUAACUUCGGGAAACCGGAGCUAAUACCGGAUAAUAUUUUGAACCGCAUGGUUCAUUAGUGAAAGACGGUUUUGCUGUCACUUAUAGAUGGAUCCGCGCUGCAUUAGCUAGUUGGUAAGGUAACGGCUUACCAAGGCAACGAUGCGUAGCCGACCUGAGAGGGUGAUCGGCCACACUGGAACUGAGACACGGUCCAGACUCCUACGGGAGGCAGCAGUAGGGAAUCUUCCGCAAUGGGCGAAAGCCUGACGGAGCAACGCCGCGUGAGUGAUGAAGGUCUUCGGAUCGUAAAACUCUGUUAUUAGGGAAGAACAAAUGUGUAAGUAACUAUGCACGUCUUGACGGUACCUAAUCAGAAAGCCACGGCUAACUACGUG